UGCCCCCUGGCAAUGUUCAAAGAGGCAUCUUGUUGGUGGUGGUCUUCUUAUAUAAGUCAGGGGCAGAGAAGAUGGCAGCCCUUUGUUCAUCCUAGCUUGAUGGUUGGCUAGACUGAGGCUGCCUCUGAGGACCAUGUCUAGGUCUAUGG